UACAGAGGUCUCAAGCGUUGUUCGGAUUCAUUGGGCGUAAAGGGUGCGUAGGUGGCGCGCUAAGUCAGGUGUGAAAUUUCGGAGCUUAACUCCGGAACUGCACUUGAUACUGCCUCGCUAGAGUACUGGAGAGGAGACUGGAAUUUACGGUGUAGCAGUGAAAUGCGUAGAGAUCGUAAGGAAGACCAGUGGCGAAGGCGAGUCUCUGGACAGUUACUGACGCUGAGGCACGAAGGCCAGGGGAGCAAACGGG
rnacentral:rRNA from 1 species